GACGAACGCUGGCGGCGUGCCUAAUACAUGCAAGUUGAGCGAUGAAGAUUGGUGCUUGCACCAAUUUGAAGAGCAGCGAACGGGUGAGUAACGCGUGGGGAAUCUUCCUUUGAGCGGGGGACAACAUUUGGAAACGAAUGCUAAUACCGCAUAAUAACUUUAAACAUAAGUUUUAAGUUUGAAAGAUGCAAUUGCAUCACUCAAAGAUGAUCCCGCGUUGUAUUAGCUAGUUGGUGAGGUAAAGGCUCACCAAGGCGAUGAUACAUAGCCCACCUGAGAGGGUGGUCGGCCACAUUGGGACUGAGACACGGCCCAAAAUCCUACGGGAGGCAGCAGUAGGGAAUCUUCGGCAAUGGACGAAAGUCUGACCGAGCAACGCCGCGUGAGUGAAGAAGGUUUUCGGAUCGUAAAACUCGGUUGGUAGAGAAGAACGUUGGUGAGAGUGGAAAGCUCAUCAAGUGACGGUAACUACCCAGAAAGGGACGGCUAACUACGCG
rnacentral:rRNA from 1 species